rnacentral:rRNA from 1 species
ACGCUCGACACCUACGGGAGGCAGCAGUGAGGAAUAUUGGUCAAUGGACGCAAGUCUGAACCAGCCAUGCCGCGUGCAGGAUGACGGCUCUAUGAGUUGUAAACUGCUUUUGUACGAGGGUAAACGCAGAUACGUGUAUCUGUCUGAAAGUAUCGUACGAAUAAGGAUCGGCUAACUCCGUGGCAGCAGCCGCGGUAAUCUGAGCGGGCUGGCAAGGC